rnacentral:rRNA from 1 species
CAGCAGCCGCGGUAAUACGGAGGGUGCAAGCGUUAUCCGGAUUUACUGGGUUUAAAGGGUGCGUAGGCGGGUCGAUAAGUCAGUGGUGAAAUACCCGAGCUUAACUUGGGAACUGCCAUUGAUACUGUCAAUCUUGAAUUUGGUAGAGGUGGGCGGAAUAUAACAUGUAGCGGUGAAAUGCUUAGAUAUGUUAUAGAACACCAAUUGCGUAGGCAGCUGGCUACGCAUAUAUUGACACUGAGGCACGAAAGCGUGGGGAUCAAACAGGAUUAGAUACCCUGGUAGUCCACGCCCUAAACUAUGGAUACUCGACAUCAGCGAUACACUGUUGGUGUCUGAGCGAAAGCAUUAAGUAUCCCACCUGGGAAGUACGAUCGCAAGAUUGAAACUCAAAGGAAUUGACGG